UUUGCACUGGUGGGGUCCCUCAGCCUGGCCUGUGCCCUCUCACAAUCCAGGACCCCUUGUGGGAUGUCAGACUGCUGGUUUUGGCCCAAUCCCACGGGCCAGGCUGAGGGACCCCACCGAUGCACA
rnacentral:pre_miRNA from 1 species